rnacentral:rRNA from 1 species
CACGUAGGGGGCAAGCGUUGUCCGGAAUCAUUGGGCGUAAAGCGCGCGUAGGCGGCCCUGUAAGUCCGUUGUGAAAGUCAAAGGCUCAACCUUUGAAAGCCGAUGGAUACUGCAGGGCUAGAGUCCGGAAGAGGCGAGUGGAAUUCCUGGUGUAGCGGUGGAAUGCGCAGAUAUCAGGAGGAACACCAAUAGCGAAGGCAGCUCGCUGGGACGGUACUGACGCUAAGGCGCGAAAGCGUGGGGAGCGAACAGG